GACUACCGGGGUAUCUAAUCCUGUUUGAUCCCCACGCUUUCGAGCCUCAGUGUCAGUUACAGUCCAGUAAGCCGCCUUCGCCACCGGUGUUCCUCCUAAUAUCUACGCAUUCUACCGCUACACUAGGAAUUCCGCUUACCCCUCCUGCACUCCAGUUAUCCAGUAUUAAAUGACCUUUCUGAGUUGAGCCCAGAGAUUUCACAUUUAACUUAAACAACCACCUACACUCCCUUUACACCCAGUCAUUCCGGACAACGCUCGCCACCUACGUAUUACCGCGGCUGCUGGCACGUAGUUUGCCGUGACUUUCUCCUAUGGUACCAUCAUUUCUUUUUCCCAUAGAUCAGAAGUUUACAAUCCGAAGACCUUCAUCCUUCACGCGGCGUUGCUGGGUCAGAGUUUCCUCCAUUGCCCAAUAUUCCCCACUGCAGCCGCCCGUAGG
rnacentral:rRNA from 1 species